rnacentral:tRNA from 1 species
GGCUACCUGGCGCAAUGGUAGCGCGUUUGACUUCGAAUCAAAAGGCUGCAGGUUCGAGUCCUGCGGUGGUCA